AUAAACAAAAAACUAUGAUUCAGUUUUAAACUGGUUUAAUUGUCAUAGCUUCCGUAACCUUUUGUUCUGUUCCUUGAUUCUGGAUGACGUAUAAAGUAGCUACAACCUGAACAUUUGAUGAACUAAUCUCACCCUUGCUACUAUGCUUCACCUCCUUUUCAAGAAUUUUCAGCAGUUCGUUGCCUGACUCAUGACAGCAACUCCCGGGGUGCCCGUACAACUUCGCGCCCAUACUGUGAAUUUCAGUGUUCGAUGCACGGGACGCCACAUUGUUCAGCCUCGGUUAAUUUACUGACUCUGAUGGAGUAAAACUACUAUUGGAAGCCCUGCCUGAAAUACGGCCGGAUACUUCGAAGUAACUCAAGCAAGGUAGUGUACGUCCUGGCGUUGGCAUCGUCUGCUCUACGAUGACUUCCUGCGUUUCUACGGCGGCUGUGACCACGACUUGUGCCCCAGCAAUCUCUGGGCGGAUGUGGACCAGCCACGGGGCCAGCCAUGCAUCAACUUUCAUCGAAGGAUUAUUUGCAUUAACGGGUUGGUGAACUUGGGAGCGAGUAUGCGACUCCGUUGCCGUUUCACUUAUUGUGAAGCGACUCGCUACCACAAUUUCAGGGGGCAGCACAGAGCAAACUUGGGAUUGAUGGCAUUUGUUGUCAUCGUUAUUCCUUCAUUAAAGAAAAAAUGCACCAACCAUGGUUU